rnacentral:lncRNA from 1 species
GCAACUGCUGAGUGAGGUGUCAGUUUUUUGCUGACUGGGAAUCCCUUUUCAGUUGGAAUUAGGANUUUUUNNAAAAUUUAGAAGGGCAAAGUGGGAAAAAAAGAAAGACUUUCUUCUUCCUCUGAAACCCUAAUUCCUCUACCAUUACCCAAACCCCAACCGCCGACCACCGACCACCGUCCAUCAUCUUCUUCCUCGCACCUCGCACCUCCAUCAUCGUCGCACCUCCAUCACCAUUGGACCUCCAUUACCCUCGCACCUCCAUCACCAUCGCACCUCCGUCACCAUCGCACCUUCAUCACCCUCGCACCUUCAUCAUCGUCGCAUCUUGCACUUGCAGAAAACAAGCCCAAAAGCAGAAACGGGAACCACCGUGGCAACCUCCAGCAUUUUCCAAUUCCACUUCGUGUGCCCUUUUCCCCAAAUCUGAACCCUAAUUUUGGGCAGAGUUGUUCUUCCUUGUCCCUAUUAGAUCCAUUAUUGUCGAUGUCCCUGUUAUAACAUCCUCUACCAUUACCC